GAUGAACGCUGGCGGCGUGCCUAAUACAUACAAGUCGAGCGAACAGACGAGGAGCUUGCUCCUCUGACGUUAGCGGCGGACGGGUGAGUAACACGUGGAUAACCUACCUAUAAGACUGGGAUAACUUCGGGAAACCGGAGCUAAUACCGGAUAAUAUAUUGAACCGCAUGGUUCAAUAGUGAAAGACGGUUUUGCUGUCACUUAUAGAUGGAUCCGCGCCGCAUUAGCUAGUUGGUAAGGUAACGGCUUACCAAGGCAACGAUGCGUAGCCGACCUGAGAGGGUGAUCGGCCACACUGGAACUGAGACACGGUCCAGACUCCUACGGGAGGCAGCAGUAGGGAAUCUUCCGCAAUGGGCGAAAGCUUGACGGAGCAACGCCGCGUGAGUGAUGAAGGUCUUCGGAUCGUAAAACUCUGUUAUUAGGGAAGAACAAAUGUGUAGGUAACUAUGCACGUCUUGACGGUACCUAAUCAGAAAGCCACGGCUAACUACGUG
rnacentral:rRNA from 1 species